AUUAUACUCCUUCCGUCCGGAAAUACUUGUCUUAGAAAUUGAUAUAUCUAGACUUAUUUUAGUUAAAGAUACAUUCAUUGUAUAUAUUUUUAGGACAAGUAUUUUCGGACAGAGGGAGUAGAAU
rnacentral:pre_miRNA from 1 species